GUUCAGGCUGUGAUUCAGCAGUUCCCAUACAGCAGGUCUUGCAAGAUGUAUUAGCAAUGCAGCUAGCAGUGUUGCCCUGCAACCUGUAGGAUUUAACAGCUUAGGAUGCUCUUUCUAAGAGUGGUUUUAACUAGCCAAUACAUUUUUUUAUGGCAGGUGUAAGUCUUGCAAGGAUUUGUGCUUCAGACUCUCCACUUCUGGCAUCCAUGGUUGUUUUGGUUGGGACUGACUUUGGGGUACAUCACAGCCCCACAGCUCAGCUUGGAGGCUCCAGAGAGAAGCACCAGGAGAGAGCAAUGGGCCUGGAUGCCAGCCCAGGCUGAGUCAGCAUUUGGGUGUGCAGAAGCUCGAACAUGACACCAUCAGAACUGGGACUUAAAAUAUAACAAACUAAAGCCACGUUCUCAGCCCCAAACUGUCCCUGAGCCCCAUGGAGGACAAAGCCAUCCCCUCUCCAUCCUAGUGACCAGGAGGCUGCAAAUGACUCUUUGGGUCCUAUCCCUGUCGUGUUUUCCUGCAGGUUUUGCAGGCUCAGAGGGCUGCCCCCCAGCAGCACAGUCCUGCCUGCCAGCCCCUGGGGGCUUUGGCAACCAAUAGCUUUUUAUGGAUAUUUGAGCUUUGAUGGAAGCCAGGGUGCUCCUGGAUGCAGCCAUCCACCACUACGUCUCUCCUGCCCUGACCUCUGUCCUGUUUGCUGUGUGUAAUAA
rnacentral:lncRNA from 1 species